AUUGAACGCUGGCGGCAGGCUUAACACAUGCAAGUCGAGCGAGCGGCGGACGGGUGAGUAAUGUCUGGGAAACUGCCUGAUGGAGGGGGAUUACUACUGGAAACGGUAGCUAAUACCGCAUACCAUCAGAUGUGCCCAGAUGGGAUUAGCUAGUGGGUGGGGUAAUGUCUCACCUAGGCGACGCUCCCUAGCUGGUCUGAGAGGAUGACCAGCCACACUGGAACUGAGGCACGGUCCAGACUCCUACGGGAGGCAGCAGUGGGGAAUAUUGCACGAUGGGCGCAAGCCUAGUGCGGCCAUGCCGCGUGUGUGAAGAAGGCCUUCGGGUUGUAAAGCACUUUCAGCGGGGAGGCGUUACUCGCAGAAGAAGCACCGGCUAACUCCGUGCCAGCAGCCGCGGUAAUUC
rnacentral:rRNA from 1 species